CUACGGGCCGCUCCAGUGGGGAAUAUUGGACAAUGGGGGAAACCCUGAUCCAGCAAUGCCGCGUGUGUGAAGAAGGCCUGCGGGUUGUAAAGCACUUUCGGUUGGGAGGACUGCUUCUAGCACUAAUAUUGUUGGAAGUUGACGUUACCUUCAGAAGAAGCACCGGCUAACUCCGUGCCAGCAGCCGCGGUAAUACGGAGGGUGCAUGCGUUAAUCGGAAUUACUGGGCGUAAAGCGCGCGUAGGCGGCUAGAUCAGUCGGGUGUGAAAGCCCCGGGCUUAACCUGGGAACUGCAUCCGAUACUGUCUAGCUUGAGUACAGGAGAGGAGAGUGGAAUUCCACAUGUAGCGGUGAAAUGCGUAGAUAUGUGGAGGAACACCAAUGGCGAAGGCAGCUCUCUGGCCUGAUACUGACGCUGAGGCGCGAAAGCGUGGGGAGCAAACAGGAUUAGAUACCCUAGUAGUC
rnacentral:rRNA from 1 species